rnacentral:rRNA from 1 species
UACGUAGGUGGCAAGCGUUGUCCGGAUUUACUGGGCGUAAAGAGCGCGCAGGCGGUCGUUCAAGUCGAGUGUGAAAGCCCCCGGCUCCAACUGGGGAGGGUCACUCGAUACUGAUCGACUGGAAGGCAGGAGAGGGAAGCGGAAUUCCCGGUGUAGUGGUGAAAUGCGUAGAUAUCAGGAGGAACACCGGUGGCGAAGGCGGACUUCUGGGACG